rnacentral:rRNA from 1 species
CAGCAGCCGCGGUAAUACGUAGGGUGCGAGCGUUAAUCGGAUUUACUGGGCGUAAAGCGUGCGCAGGCGGCCCGUUAAGACAGGUGUGAAAUCCCUGGGCUCAACCUAGAAAUUGCGCUUGUGACUGGCGGGCUCGAGUACGGUAGAGGGGGGUGGAAUUCCUGGUGUAGCAGUGAAAUGCGUAGAGAUCAGGAGGAACACCGAUGGCGAAGGCAGCCCCCUGGGCCUGUACUGACGCUCAUGCACGAAAGCGUGGGGAGCAAACAGGAUUAGAUACCCUGGUAGUCCACGCCCUAAACGAUGGGUACUAGCCGUUUGGUGCGCGAUAGCGCUGAGUGGCGAAGCUAACGCGUGAAGUACCCCGCCUGGGGAGUACGGCCGCAAGGUUGAAACUUAAAGGAAUUGGCGGG